CGCUCAGGAGAGGGAAAGAAUCAGGGGCGGCUGCUCGACACAGGCGACGCGAGCGGCGUGCGCUGGGAUCCAGCCGAGGCGCCAUGGAAAGAUGAAGGUAUGGAUCCAGCCGCCGCGGGCGACGCAGGGAUCAGUCGAUCCAGCCGCCGCGGGCGACACGGGGAUCAGUUGAUCCAGUCGGCUGCGGUCCAUGAGCAGUGUGGACGGACUCCCUCGACGCCGUCCUACCUCUCGGACCUAGGGCGAACCCUGGGUGCCGCCGCCAUGCCCUCCUGCUCGCGACUCCUCGCGGAGCGGACGGCCAUCCAUCCGGUAAUCAAUCUCGUGUACGCUUUGCCCGCAGGUGCAAAAUUUCCUCAAGGAUACUGGCUGGUCACACGAGCAUAAUGGAGAAAUCAGUCAACUAUUCAUGGAUCAGGCAAAAUUUUCCAUUGAUAAAUGUAUUUGGCGUGCUUUCAGUUUGUUGACUUUAACAAGCUUGGGAAUACAAUAGCUACGUUGGGUCAGUUAUUAGCUUUUACGUCUUCACAGAUAACUAAUGAUACCUUGCAGGCUAUUCAAAUUAUUUAUAUAGCCAAAUUGACACUAUGUUCAUCAUUAGAGACUAUAUAAUUAAGGUGAAACAAUUCCAACCACAACUAUUUGGUUUGGGAACUAUAUGUAUUUUGCUGCUAGGAAUGUUAGGCACCUUUGAUAUUCUCAGUUUUCUUUAUUCUUGCUAUAAGUUUUACAUCACAGCAAGAAAAACACCCGACGUGGGCGAUCCGCCCGCGAAGUGGAAACGGGGGGACACGAGCGAUAAUGGCCGUUGCCUCCUGUAUUGGAUCCCAGCAACAUGGUUCUCAGCUAGGUGGUGUAUGUUGUUUCAUGCUAUGAGGAGAAAUUUCACAAAGCUUAUAGGAGACCAAAAUCCCACCCAAAUCAGGUAAACCUUGGGCAUGAGGGUCGAAAAGUUUUUUUUCUUUGUCAAAGAAAUUCCUUAUUAACUGAUAUUGUGUCGUUGAUGCUUGGUCUAAUAAACAGAUUUAGCUUCAGUUUAGGUAAAUCUUCAAUUGGCUCCAGGUUAUCUGUGUUAUCAGAUUUCCAUGUUAGAGAAAAACUAUGCAAUCAAAAUUAUGUUGUCAUCCUGAAAUUAUCUAGCUCAUAAAGAUAGGAAACAAAAAAUAGAAGUUGGAUACCAAAGCAGGGGAUAGAAAUGUAGUACAAGAAUUAAUUUCAUCUUGUAGGGUAGUAUCAACAUAUUGCAAAUAUUCCAGUGAAAUAUCCGUGAGAUAAAAAUUAGGUGUACUCCAUUUUAUCGUGAUAAAACAAUACCAGUUACACCAAACAUCAAUGUAGUACCAUGUUCUAUGUUGCAACUGAGAGAUGAUGUGGUGGUAAAGCAGAAUUUGAGUAGUUGUCGAGUUCAUUGGUUCUGACCAUUUGAUCAUAUAUAUUACCUCUGUAAACUAAUAUAUGGAGAAAAUUUACUUUAUAAGAGUACUUUUGAUAGUGAUUCUGUAAAUGCCGGUACACAUAACUGAACUGCAAUGCUGCACUUGAACACUAUCAUGGAGCUUAGAACUUGUGUGGUGUUGUUCUUGCAAAAAAUAAAUGGAGUAAUAAUGUUUUUAAUAUCAGGAAAUAGAUAUAGAAAUGUGACCUGCACUAUGCUGGUAUAGUAUCCAGCAGUACCAGUUUUCCUGUAUAUUAUCUACUCUUUAACAUUGUACUUAGUCCUUGUUCUAUUUGAUAGUCGCUUUUACAUAUAAUGCAAAGUUUUCAGUUGUGCCUGUUAAGAAUUCAUGAUAUUUCUAUUUUUGCACCGGGCAAUGGAAUAGAGGUUACUUUGGAAUUCAGGCCAAAGUAACUCCGUAUAGAUUAUUGCAUAUGCAAGAGGGCCAUCUGAAUUUUUCUGGAAGCCAUGUGUAGCAAUUGAUAUGAAUAGAAAAGCUUUUGAAGGAUACAGUAAGCAAGCUGCUGGUUGCAUAGGCUACACUAUUUUGGUACAUCAGAAUCACAGUUUACAAGAUAUUCCGUUGCACUUUUAUCUUUUCGCCAUGGUAUUAGACAUGUUUGAAUCAUUGUUCAGACACAUGGCUGGCAUGCAUGUGAAGCAAAGUUUGUGACAUAUACUUCAUGUUGGCUACUUAUCAUGCCUUCGCAAAUAGAAAGACAUCAAUUGCAACUUGUUAUGCAACAUGAUAGCAAGUGAAGAGUUUGUGAUUGCUGUUAAGCAGUAUUUGAUUAGCAUCGCAACUCUUUUAAGUGAACUUAGAGGGAUUGGGUAUCAUCAGAAAUGAUGUAAUCAGUAUGGUAUAUGCUAUAGACAUACAAAGUUCCAUGGAAGUAUAUUAAUCUGUAUCAAUAGAUGCUUAAAACUGUAAAGAAAAUAUAAUAUUCCUUCUGCUUGAAGGAACGUCUUAUAUUGUGGGAUGAAGGGAAUACAUUAGAUAGUGGUUUAGUUUUUUCUUUAAUAGCUGGUCCCUUGCUGUUAUAGGCUUGCUUAUAUGGAGGUUGUCCGAUUGGGUAUUAAUAGAGGUGAUGUAAGAAGUAUGUUAUGCUUAGACAUAUGAAGUCCCAAAGAAGUAUCAAUGGAUGCAAAAAACUGUAAAUAAAGUUAUGUGUCCCUUCCAUUGCCAUACAUACGUAUUUUCCCAAGUUUUCUAGAGUUAUUUUUUUUACAAAAGCUAGAGUUAAUAGUGAGUUAGAUUUUUGUAACUCUGGCUCCUUGCUGUGUACUGACAUGCUUAUGUGGCUCCUCUUCUUGUAAGGAAUCAUGAUUGUUAAGGGAUUUAUUAUCUUAAUUUUGUAGUUGUACCAUUCCACUGAAAUUUAGUGUGCCAGACUGGUUCAAGCCCUUCUUGGAAGACACGGUUUAAUUCAUCAGCUUAUGCUUACAAUUCUGAUCGAAUAAGCCAUGUCCAUAUAUUUAUGGAAUUCUCUACCAGUCUAUCGCCAAAAUAGACGGGCGCAGCAACGCGCGCCAUCAGGAUCUAGUACAUCCAUGUAAGUGGUCGAUCGCUAGCGCUAGGGUUUGCAUUUCCCUCUGCUUUCUUUGAUGUAACCCAAAGCUUUUCCCAAACGAGGCUUAUGUGCAAGUUAAUGUCAAGGUGAUGUGAUACAGUCCGUUAGAUCUUUAAAUAUGCAGCCUUGGAAUCUCGAUUGCAAGUAGCAGGCAGCACAGAAAGGAACUCGAGUACUUACUCUUAACCCCAUGCAACUUGCAUCACUAAUACUCCAUAUUUUUAAUAAUGUGUUGUGUUCAACUGGAAGAAUUUAUAGUUCUUUUUUUUAUUUAGGAUCGAAUAUAUAGUUCUUUACACGUGCCAAUUAGACUGUUUCAUCUAACAGGUUUCAGAAAAUGGCUUGCUAUUUAAGAUCUUAAAAACAAGCUAGUUUUUUUUUGAGCAUCUAAAAAUAAGCUAGUUAACGUUUAUUUUUACACCAACAAUUUGAACGCUUACAGAGAAUAUCAAUCAUUGGUUGACGCUUCAUUUAUAAAGCGGGAGGGAAGUCUAUUUCUAGAAUAUAAAUCUAUGGAUUACUCAUUUCAUGAAAGGAACUACAUAUGUCAAGAACCAUUCUUUACUUUAUAUAGUCAUAUACCUUGUUGAAGGUGUCGCGAUGUCGUUCUCUCUACCUGUUUGCUGCUCUGGGGAAACCCUAGGUUUGGGUGAUCUCGGAUCAAACACGUCAGUGAUGUCGUUUUCUCCCUUGGGAGCAUCAUUUUGGAGUUGCAUUCGCUAUGGGGGCCAAUGGAUGUUGGCAAGUUCGUGAUGCGGCGGACAUUUUCAUGUCUCGGCGGUGCCUUGUUUUGGGAAGCGGAGGCAUUGAGGCGGGCAGCGGCAAACCUUCGCUGAGACACCGCGUUACGAUUAUGGUCUGUGGCAAUUUGCCGGUGAUAAUCGCGAACUUGGCAGGAUAGUGACAGCUCGUGUGUAUUGUCUGGGGUGCCCAGAUUUACCACUGACAAACACUAGAGACGGAAGUGUGGGAUUAUCGGAUUAUCUACAAGGUGGGAUUUCGGUGGUAGCAACAUCUCUCGCCAUGUGAUCAAUGGCUUUGUGGCUGGCUAUUUGCUUGAUGUGU